rnacentral:rRNA from 1 species
CUACGGGUUGCUCCAGUGAGGAAUAUUGCACAAUGGGGGGAACCCUGAUGCAGCAACGCCGCGCGGAGGAUGACGCAUUUCAGUGUGUAAACUCCUUUUAUAUGUCAAGAAAAUGACGGUAGCAUAUGAAUAAGCACCGGCUAACUCCGUGCCAGCAGCCGCGGUAAUACGGAGGGUGCAAGCGUUACUCGGAAUCACUGGGCGUAAAGGACGCGUAGGCGGGUUGGAAAGUCAGGUGUGAAAUCCUACAGCUUAACUGUAGAACUGCACUUGAAACUUCUAAUCUAGAGUAUGGGAGGGGGAGAUGGAAUUAGUGGUGUAGGGGUAAAAUCCGUAGAUAUCACUAGGAAUACCUAAAGCGAAGGCGAUCUCCUGGAACAUUACUGACGCUAAGGCGUGAAAGCGUGGGGAGCAAACAGGAUUAGUACCCGCGUAGUC